CGGUCUUAUUCAUAAUCAUUUUUCACAUUUUAUCAAAUGCUUAUUAGAGGUUUAUAAAACGUUUGAUAAAAAUUGUUAUUCAUAAUCGUCAUUUAGCGCUAAAAUCCUCUUUUAUCUGUGUGAUAAGUUAUCGAGAGCUCGGGCCUUGUUUAAAGCUCUAAUAAACCUAUUUUAACCUAACUUUUAUAAAUGUCAUUUCAUAUGAAUGUCACUUCGUUGGUUUAUUUAUUCAAAAUAUCCUUGCUGUGAUCCUUGCUUGUGAAAAUGAAUGCUAUAAAUGCAAUUGUGCAUUUAGCCAAUAAUGCCGACCCAGCGCGACGUAGAAAGCUCUACCGCCAACGAAGCAACCCAUUCGAUUUGCGGGACCUAAAUUUUAAAAUAAAAUAUAGGUUCAAUAAGGACACAGUGCGCACCAUCAUAGAUUUGGUGGAAGAUGAUCUGGUUCAGAGCGCUAGAGGUGGUGGCACGUGUCCUGAACUGCAAGUUUUAGUGGCCAUAAGAUGUUGGGGACGUCGUGAGGUAAGCACAAAAAAGUGUUUUAUUUUAUCCCUUUGUCGUGGCUGCUAUAAUUAUUUUCAUACAUUUUCAGGUGCAAGAUGAUGCUGGUGACCUCCAUGGCCUAAGUCAGCCGACAGUGAGCCGGAUAUGCGCCAGAGUCGCGCAUGCAAUCGCGAAUAAGGCAAAUUCCUUCAUCAAAAUGCCUAUCACUAUAGGAGAGCAGGAAAGAAUUAGUGCCAAAUUUAGAGCAAUUAAAAAUUUUCCUGGGGUGAUAGGAGCCAUAGAUUGCACCCACAUUAAAAUUAAAAAAACCGGAGGUGACAUGGCCCAGUACUAUAUUAAUAGAAAAGGCUAUUAUUCCCUGAAUGUUCAGGUUGUCUGUGAUGCUGACCUCAAAAUAAUGGAUAUAGUGGCUAGAUGGCGAGGCAGUACACAUGACAGUCGAAUUUUUAUGGAGAGCAAUAUAAAACAACGAUUUGAGGAUAGGCAGUUUAGAGGACGCCUUAUUGGCGAUUCGGGCGAUUCUGCCAUAUCUAUUUACACCUAUUUUAAGGCCUAGUCGUCCAGAAGAAGAAGCAUACAAUAAUGCUCACAUCUCAACUAGGAACACUGUUGAAAGGUGUUUUGGGGUGUGGAAGCAGCGGUUCCAAUGCCUACUCCAUGGCUUACCAGUAAGCCUCCAAAAUGGAAAAGCUGUGAUCAUAGCAUUGGCUGUAUUACAUAAUAUAGCCAUUGAUAUGAAUGACACAUUGUUAGAACAACAUAUGGAGCAGGUCCCUGUAACUCCGCAACUUUCGACGGAGAACAGUGUUCACGACAACCGACCUUCAUUGUUGAGGCGUAGGUCGCAGUUGAUACUACAAAAUUUUAUAAAUCAACAUUUUUGAAUGAUACUGUUCCUGGCAUCUUAAUGAAAAUAAAAAGAAUAUUUGAUUGAAA